CGAGCACGCGCGUGUGGCAUAUCAAUAAGCGGAGGAAAAGAAACUAACAAGGAUUCCCUUAGUAACGGCGAGUGAAGCGGGAAGAGCUCAAAUUUGAAAUCUUCAAGGUUCUACCUUGACGAAUUGUAGUUUAUAGGAAGUGUUUUCUGUUGGAGUUUGGCUAAAAGUUCUUUGGAAUAGGACAUCAUUAGAGGGUGAGAAUCCCGUAUUUGACCGUUACUUUCCAGCUGUGUGAUACACUUUCAAAGAGUCGGAUUGUUUGGGAAUGCAGUCCAAAAUGGGUGGUAAAUUUCAUCUAAAGCUAAAUAUUGGCGAGAGACCGAUAGCGAACAAGUACCGUGAGGGAAAGAUGAAAAGAACUUUGAGAAGAGAGUUAAACAGUACGUGAAAUUGUCAAAAGGGAAGCGUUUGACACCAGUGUUGUUUAGUUGAAAAUCAAUUCAAUAAUUUUUGAUUCUAAGUAGUAUUGACUUCAUCAGCUUGCUGCUUUCUUCUCAGAAAUUAUUGAAUGCACUUUUCAGUUAACAAGUCAACAUCAAUUUCUUUUGUUGUAAAAGGGUAAGAGGAAGGUGGCUUGCGCUUCGGCUCAAGUGUUUAUAGCCUUUUAUCUCUGCAAUCGGAGAGAUUGAGGUCUGCAGCGUAGAUCCUUCGGGGUUAGAUACAUUGGUGCUAAGCUAUAGCCUUGUAUAGACAACUUGUUGACUAUGCUCAGUCAUGUAGCUUACUCGCUGAUGCUAUUUUACCUACGCUUAGGAUGUUGAGUCAUCACACAUCUCU
rnacentral:rRNA from 1 species